UGAGAUUGCAAGCUCACCAUUUGUUGUCAC
rnacentral:piRNA from 1 species